rnacentral:lncRNA from 1 species
UCUGAGUGGUCGCAGUCGGGGAAGGGGGUUACCUGGGCGUAGUGGCACAUGUCUGUCAUCCCAGCUACUCGGGAGGCUGAGGCACGAGAAUCACUUGAACUCAGGAGGCGGAGGUUGCAGUGAGCCAAGAUCACACCACUACACACCAGCCUAGGUGACAAGAGUGAAACUCCAUUUCUACAUGAAGUACAUACCAGCUGCAAACAUUGAUUCCGUAUCGAUGAAUGAGGGGCUGAGGUGAGGCGUGCUGACCCAGCAAUGAGACUGGACAGGUAGGCAGGGGCCAGGAUUCCGGACUUUGGGACGUUUUUCUGACUCUGGGAUCUAUUGAAAGAUUUUAGGAACAAUUUACAUGAUAAGAUUUGUAUUUUAGAAAGGUGACUAAUAUAACAAUGUAGAGGACCCUGCAGUGUGGAGAGGCAUGAAACUGAAGGUCCAAUGCCGUGAGUUAACCAAGAUGUCCAUACAGAAGAUGCAUUGGCGGGUUUUAGGAAUAAUGUUUCCAAAGGAUCAAGAAGGAAGCAAAACGCUGGGCACAGUGGCUCACACCUGUAAUCCCAGCGCAUUGGGAGGCAAUGCACUUGAGCCAAGGAUUUCAAGACCAGCCUGGGCAACAUGGCAAAACCCCA